UACGGGGGGAGCAAGCGUUGUUCGGAUUUACUGGGCGUAAAGGGCGCGUAGGCGGCCAGCACAAGUCAGUUGUGAAAUCUCCGAGCUUAACUCGGAAAGGUCAACUGAUACUGUGCGGCUAGAGUGCAGAAGGGGCAACUGGAAUUCUUGGUGUAGCGGUGAAAUGCGUAGAUAUCGAGAGGAACACCUGCGGCGAAGGCGGGUUGCUGGGCUGACACUGACGCUGAUGCGCGAAAGCCAGGGGAGCGAACGGGG
rnacentral:rRNA from 1 species